rnacentral:rRNA from 1 species
GAUGAACGCUGGCGGCGUGCCUAACACAUGCAAGUCGAGCGGAGUUUAUUAAGGAGGUCUUAGGACGGAAAGAAUAAACUUAGCGGCGAACGGGUGAGUAACGCGUGAGAAACCUGCCUUUCACAAAGGGAUAGCCUCGGGAAACUGGGAUUAAUACCUUAUGAUACUUACAUUUCACAUGAGAAGUAAGUUAAAAGCGACAAAAGCGGUGAAAAGAUGGUCUCGCGUCCCAUUAGUUAGUUGGUGAGGUAACGGCUCACCAAGACCGCGAUGGGUANCCGGCCUGAGAGGGUGACCGGCCACACUGGAACUGAGACACGGUCCAGACU